AUAAUGGGUCAGCGACUUAUAUUCUGUAGCAAGGUUAACCGAAUAGGGGAGCCGAAGGGAAACCGAGUCUUAACUGGGCGUUAAGUUGCAGGGUAUAGACCCGAAACCCGGUGAUCUAGCCAUGGGCAGGUUGAAGGUUGGGUAACACUAACUGGAGGACCGAACCGACUAAUGUUGAAAAAUUAGCGGAUGACUUGUGGCUGGGGGUGAAAGGCCAAUCAAACCGGGAGAUAGCUGGUUCUCCCCGAAAGCUAUUUAGGUAGCGCCUCGUGAAUUCAUCUCCGGGGGUAGAGCACUG
rnacentral:rRNA from 1 species